UAGGGAAUCUUCGGCAAUGGGGGGAACCCUGACCGAGCAACGCCGCGUGAGUGAAGAAGGUUUUCGGAUCGUAAAGCUCUGUUGUUAAGGAAGAACGAGUGCGAGAAUUGAAAGUUCAUGCUGUGACGGUACUUAACCAGAAAGGGACGGCUAACUACGUGCCAGCAGCCGCGGUAAUACGUAGGUCCCGAGCGUUGUACGGAUUUAUUGGGCGUAAAGCGAGCGCAGGCGGUUAGAAAAGUCUGAAGUGAAAGGCAGUGGCUCAAACAUUUUAGGCUUUGGAAACUGUUUAACGUGAGUGCAGAAGGGGAGAGUGGAAUUCCAUGUGUAGCGGUGAAGUGCGUAGAUAUAUGGAGGAACACCGGUGGCGAAAGCGGCUCUCUGGUCUGUAACUGACGCUGAGGCUCGAAAGCGUGGGGAGCGAACAAG
rnacentral:rRNA from 1 species